rnacentral:lncRNA from 1 species
AGGAAUCAAGGACCCUUAAGUCCGAUCACAUGUUUACAAAUACAGUACCGGAGAGACUGCCAGCUCUCAUAUUAAUAUCAUCAUCAAGGAUCUUCAAGUCCUGAUGUAAUUGUAUGAUGAGGAUCAAGGAACUUCUGGUCCUGAUCUGCAUACUGUAAAAACUCAUCAUACAGCACAAUUAAUCCAUAAAAUAAAUUGCGGAUAAAUAAAUUACUGGUAUGGACGAUAAACCCGCACCAUACUUUAAAUAAAUUAAAUAGCUUGCUGUAUGGACGUUAAUCCCGCACCAUACUUUAAAUAAAUUAAAUAGCUUGCUGUAUGGACGUUAAUCCCGCACCAUACUUUAAAUAAAUGUAAAUGUGCGGUAAAGUAAACGUGCUUGUGUGGGCACUAAUUCUGCUCCAUACAUUUAAAUACAAGUAAAGGCGUGGACGAUAAACCCGCACCACCCUUUUAAAUAAAUACUGUUGUAUGGGUAAUAAACCUACACCAUACAGUAAAUAAAAUAAAUGUGCGGUAAAGUAAAUUUGCAGUAAAUUAAACGUGCUUGUAUGGGCACUAAUUCUGCUCCAUACAUUUAAAUAAAAUUAAAGGCGUGAGCGAUAAACCCGCACCACCCUUUGAAAUAAAUAUUGUUGUAUGGGUAAUAAACCUACACCAUACAGUAAAU